rnacentral:lncRNA from 1 species
GGCACCGCAGCAGGGGUGCGGAGAGGGACUGGGGGCGGGUGAGUACUGCUCCCGCAGCUCUGCUGGCCCUCUCUCUGCCCCGAGCUGUGCCUGGACAAUCCUCCUCGUCCUCCCGGCCCCCGCUCGCCAAUGCUGUGGCCUGCACCUGCAUCGCUCUCUGGGAACCUCGGAGACCUCAACUCCUUCGUACUGGUCUUACCCCUUCGUACUGGUCGGGGUUUACUGCAGGUCCACCUCCCCUAGGCCAUGGCCAGGUGGGGGAAGGUCACUCCAGGACGCUAGUGACUCUGCCCAGCUCUGCUCCGCCUCUCUGCUUAUGCACCUGCCGCCCCCUCGCACUCUCUGCCACUGCGGUUGCAGUUCCGGCCCGUCCCUCUUCUGCAGGCCAGCCCAGCGGGCAGCCUCGGUUCCUGACUCCUGGUCUGUGCUUGUGGGCGGCCUGAACCACCUCAAUCCGGACAAUUGCCAAACCCACCCUGGGCUGUAGCUGGGAACCGGUUGUGGCUCCUGCCAGUCUAGACCCCGGGGAACAAUUUAUGCACGUGACCCAGCCACCUAAGACUCUCCUGGCCCAGGUCUGUGGCUGGUAUUCCCAUUGGCUUACUGUUCUGUCUCACUGGGGGCACCCCUACCCUAUACUGUAGAAUUCUUGGAAUGACAGAGCACUUGGGAAGACCCAGCUCACAUGUCAAGAUGUCGCAGAGCACUGUGUUGGACAUGACCAUUCUUUCCAUCCUUGUUGGCUGAAAAUCCGCCCUUAUUUUCAUCCACCGAGCCCCUGAACAGCUUUCCACACAGCUCUUAUGGUGAUGACACAGCAGAAAACAUGGCGAGGCUUCUGCAGUGGCUGCAGAAAAGCCUGUCCCUGGAGCGACCUGGCCGGUCGCGCAAAGAGCUAGCUUCUUAUCAAAGACCUUCCCAACACAGAGAUGGGUUCCCAAGACACCCUGCCAUUUUCAAGGUCAAUCUUGCAGGCCCAAGGACAAAACCGAAGGGAUGCAAAAAUGAGCUUUUUCUCAUUAAUCCCACUUGCAAGACUGAAGAAAACCUUAAAAUACCCAAAAUUCAGGGGAGACAUAGCAACUGAGUCUCAUGGAGUCCACAGGGGCUGCCGACCCACUGUGUCAAGGACAACUGUGAGAGCAGCUUGUUGAGAAAGAAGUCACUCUGCUUUGCCCCUGCAGCGUUUAUUUUGGAAAAAACCCAAGUUUGUGGUUGGUCUGGAAUGGAGUCUAUGACCUAUGUGAGGAGAGUAUGAAAAUAACAAAUAGAGACCCUGUAGCCUAAGGAUCAAGAUUCUAGUUAUCCUCAUAGUCCAGAGGGUCGGACAAGAGGACCAGAAGUUCAAAGUCAUCUUCUGCUGCAUAAAUCUGAGGCUAAGCUAGCUCCAUGAGACCUUGCCUCAGAACCCCAAAGAGACCUUUUCAACCUAGCUUCUUUGGGCCUAUAUGGUGGAGGUGGCCGCAACCAAGAGAAAACGAUAUAUAGAGAAUGGUGUUGGCUUUGUUCUGGCAAAACAGAGAUUCAGACAAAGGCCAGAAGAUAAUGGUGGUGCUCCUGAAUAGAGGUCCCCUGGUUCAAACGUCCAUCUACUGGAACAAGGUCAAUGAUCCUCCAGGGACUCUCAACUCCCUAUCUACGCACUCUCUACAGCAAAACAUCCUGUGCUUGGGAAAGUCUGAGCUGAACCCAGCUCCUGUGGCUUCUGCUCAAUCUUAGUUCCUUGUUUGCAAGAAUGAGAGGCAAACAGCAAGCCUUGUGCAUCUUUGUAUAGAUAGAAAACAACCCUCCCAACCCCCCAUUUUACAGUAUUUGGGUUUGGCUUUUUUUCUCUUUCUUUUCUCUUCUCUUUCUUCUCUUCUCUUCUCUUCUCUUCUCUUCUCUUCUCUUCUCUUCUCUUCUCUUCUCUUCUCUUCUCCUCUCCUCUCCUCUCCUCUCCUCUCCUCUCCUCUCUUCCUCUUCCUCUUCCUCUUCCUCUUCCUCUUCCUCUUCCUCUUCCUCUUCCUCUUCCUCUUCCUCUUCCUCUUCCUCUCCUCUCCCUCUCCUCUCCCUCUCCUCUCUGUGGGAAGCCAACUCCAAGAUGGCGCCGGUUUCCGGUUGCCGUUGUCAUAAACAACACCACUGCGCAGGCGUCAAUUCGAAUUUGGGGCCAACCCCUCCCAAGCGGGUGCAUGCAAAUUGGGUGCUGGCAGACUGACCAACCCCAGGGGGCCACGGAGCCUUCUCCUGUGCUGGGGUACAUAUAAGCAGGGCUCCCUGGGCGCCUGGGGUCCCCGUAGAAGCAUCAAGGCGAUCCUGCAAUAAAGGCUGUUGAGAAGAA